AUCUCUUAAGAUUUCACACUUUUGUUGUUUCGGGUCCUGACUGACAAGAGAUCCCCAACAGGUUUGGUCACCCGAGGUCUUGAGGAACAAUGCCCCGAAUCUGAGUGGUCCUAAUUGUCCGGUUCCUGGAACAAAAGCAACAAGGCCAGGCACCAGGGUCAGCGAUCCAGUCGGGUGUGGUCCGGUGAGAGUCGUUGA